AUGGCCGCGUCAGCGUCGGCGGCGGGCGGCGAGCCCCAGAAGCAGUUCCUAUCCAUCAUCCGCGACUUUGCCGCCGAGAAGUCCCACGGCGAGCGCACGGUGUCGGGCCUGAAGCGCCGCCUCGACGACGUGGUCUCGGCGUCCGACGCGGCCACGGCGGAGCUCGAGGCCGCGAAGCGCGCGCGGGAGGCGGCGGAGACGGAGCUGCGCGGGAGCGAGGUGCAGGCCUCCAUCGCAGACGCGUCGAUACAGGCGCUCGAGGCGACGAUCUCUCAUCUCCAGGAGGAGAUCGCGAAGCUGGGCUCUGAACUGGAGGCGCUUAAGAGCACGGAGGACAUCGAGAGAGAGGAGUUCUUGAGACAGAUGCAUGAAAUGAAUGCUAGGAUAAGGCAAUUUCAACAGAAGGCUUCUGCAGAAUUAGCAGAGAGGUGCUCUGGACCGCCAUCAGCAGAUGGUAAGCAAGGCAAGUCAGCAGAGGGUCAAAAUGGGAGCGACAUGAAUGAAACUAUGGACUCAGAAGGUAUGUUGACCGAUUCGGUUGAUCAGAUGAACAACAUGAACGCUGAGGUGCAUGUAUUGGAGGAAGAGUAUCAAAAGGACCUGCUUGAACUUGAAAAGGUUCUUCUCUCCAUUCUUUCACCCAAUAUUGUGUUAUUUAUUAACUAUUCAACUAUUCAAAGGAUGCGAUACACUUGUUUGGUUUUCUCUUGA
rnacentral:rRNA from 1 species